UCUUUCACUUCCAAAUCCCAAUUCCCAAGAAACAAAUUUGAUAAAAUCAUCAAGAGCCCAUGAGUUUUCUCAAGGAUUUGGCUCUAAAGGAGGCUUUUUUCGCACUUGGAGCAAGAGAUUUUCUCACUUGGAGAUUUGGAAUCGGAUUUGCAGCAAAGGAUUUAAGUAAUGUUCCUUGUAUGGCAGAUCGAACACCUUCAAGUAUAGUGAGGCUGGCUAGAGUACUAAUCACUGAUAAUUAGCUUCUGGGGCACAUGAUGUGGCUGCAUAGACAAGACUCCUAGGAGAAGUUUGAGGGAUCUCAGUGAAGCCAAUAACAAUGAUGCUGAUA